rnacentral:rRNA from 1 species
GCUACCAUGCAGUCGAGCGGUACAUUUCAAAGCUUGCUUUUGAAGAUGACGAGCGGCGGACGGGUGAGUAAUGCCUGGGAAUUUGCCCAUUUGUGGGGGAUAACAGUUGGAAACGACUGCUAAUACCGCAUACGCCCUACGGGGGAAAGCAGGGGACCUUCGGGCCUUGCGCUGAUGGAUAAGCCCAGGUGGGAUUAGCUAGUAGGUGAGGUAAAGGCUCACCUAGGCGACGAUCCCUAGCUGGUCUGAGAGGAUGAUCAGCCACACUGGGACUGAGACACGGCCCAGACUCCUACGGGAGGCAGCAGUGGGGAAUAUUGCACAAUGGGGGAAACCCUGAUGCAGCCAUGCCGCGUGUGUGAAGAAGGCCUUCGGGUUGUAAAGCACUUUCAGCGAGGAGGAAAGGGUGUAAGUUAAUACCUUACAUCUGUGACGUUACUCGCAGAAGAAGCACCGGCUAACUCCGUGCCAGCAGCCGCGGUAAUACGGAGGGUGCGAGCGUUAAUCGGAAUUACUGGGCGUAAAGCGUGCGCAGGCGGUUUGUUAAGCGAGAUGUGAAAGCCCCGGGCUCAACCUGGAACCGCAUUUCGAACUGGCAAACUAGAGUCUUGUAGAGGGGGGUAGAAUUCCAGGUGUAGCGGUGAAAUGCGUAGAGAUCUGGAGGAAUACCGGUGGGCGAAGCGCCCCUGGACAAAGAACUGACG